ACGUACACCCUCGGGCUCAACCAGUUCUCCGACCUCACCAACGAAGAGUUCGUGGAGAAGCACCUCGGGUACCGUCACCAGCCGGGCGGGCUCCGUCCCGAGGACACGCCGGUGGCCGCGGUGAACAUGUCCAAGGCUCAGUUCCAGUCCACGCCGGACAGCUUGGACUGGAGGGCCCAGGGCGCCGUCACCCAAGUCAAGAACCAAGCCCCAUGUGGGAGUUGCUGGGCGUUCGCGGCGGUGGCGGCGACCGAGGGGCUCGUACAGAUCGCCACCGGCAACCUCAUCUCCAUGUCAGAGCAGCAGGUGCUCGACUGCACGGGCGACACUAGCACCUGCAAGGGUGGCUCCGUCAUCGCCGCCCUACGUUACGUCGCCGCAAGCGGCGGCCUGCAGCCGGAGGCAGCCUACGCAUAUACCGGCCAGCAGGGCGCGUGCCGCAGCGUCAUGCCAAAUUCGGCCGCCUCCGUUGGCGCCCCCCGCUGGGUGGGCCUGAACGGCGAUGAGGACGCGUUGCGGGAGCUGGCUGCCAGCCAACUGGUGGCCGUGGGCGUGGAGGCGGACCCUGACUUUCAGCACUACAAGAGCGGCGUGUUCGUCGGUAGUUCGUCGUGCGGGCAAAACCUGAACCACGCCGUGACGGUGGUGGGGUACGGGGCGGACGGCGGCGGGCAGGAGUACUGGUUGGUGAAGAACCAGUGGGGGACGGGGUGGGGUGAGGGGGGCUAUAUGCGCCUCACGCGCGGGAACGGCGGAAACUGCGGCAUGGCCACCGUUGCCUACUAUCCGACCGUGGACAGCUCUUAA
rnacentral:rRNA from 1 species